UGUGAAUGUGGAGGAUGGGCCUCAUGGUAUUCCCGCUGCUGGGGUUGGGAGAAGAGAUUUACAGCAUCAUGAACAGAUAUACUUAGCGUGGAAGAGAAGUGAUUCCAUAAUGGAAGAGUGGGGUACAGCUAUUUGGAGAAAAAAAAGUUGUAGACCUUUGGAGAGUACGUCUAACCAGAAGCCAGGUCGCACGCAGAAACUCAGCUCAAAGGGAACUUGGAAAUUCUAGGCUUUGGCUUUCCGGGCUCCAGCAGGCAUCAAGGUCAAGUACAAGGCUAAGAACUCAGAUUCCUGAGCCCCUCACCUCUGCAGUCAGAGGGCAGCCCUGGGCCAGCAGGAGCCACGUGGAGACACGCGGGAGGCUCUGUGAACAGCCACACAGCCCUGAGCUGAGGGGCUGGAUGGAAAGAGCCCGGAUGCAAAAGCCAGGAAGGAAUCCUCCCAGGCAUGAAUGAUGGGCGCACAAAGUGGGCUGCCCAGUCCUACUGUGAAUGACCAGAAUCCCAGGGAGACAGCACUUUCUUCACAUAAACCCUCAGAGCCCAACACUCUGAGUCACCCAGAUAUGCAGAAUCUCUUGCAAGCAAAAAACUGCAUUGAUUGAGGAUGCUUGGUUUUUAGAACUGACCAAAGAUCCACUGGCGAGUCAACUUUCUAAAAGGAAUUGAGCGCCCCCUGCUGGGAAUUCAUUGGCAUUGACAAUAAACUCUUCAAAUGCACCAAAAUCGGAAAAUAAACUUUAGGGAUUUAAUCUUGUGUAAAAACCAGUGACAACAAUAUGAGUCGUGUCGACGGAGUUCUGUGACUUUGGUAAUAGGUUGAACUUUUGAAUGAUUCAUGUCUCCCAAUUUCCUAAUAAAAAUUCUUUGGGUUCUCUGUC